rnacentral:rRNA from 1 species
UACGUAGGGGGCGAGCGUUGUCCGGAGUUACUGGGCGUAAAGGGCGCGCAGGCGGUCUGGCAAGUUUGGAGUGACAGUGCUCGGCUUAACUGAGCAAGGCCUUCGAAAACUGCUAGACUUGAGCACUCAAGAGGGAUAUAGAAUUCCGGGUGGAGUGGUGAAAUGCGUAGAUAUCCGGAGGAAUACCAAAGGCGAAGGCAGUGUCUUGGGGAGUGUCUGACGCUCAGGCGCGAAAGCUAGGGGAGCGAACAGG